GUGGGGAAUAUUGGGCAAUGGGCGCAAGCCUGACCCAGCAACGCCGCGUGAAGGAAGAAGGCUUUCGGGUUGUAAACUUCUUUUACCAGGGACGAAACAAAUGACGGUACCUGGUGAAUAAGCCACGGCUACUACGUGCCAGCAGCCGCGGUAAUACGUAGGUGGCGAGCGUUAUCCGGAUUUAUUGGGUGUAAAGGGCGUGUAGGCGGGACAGCAAGUCAGAUGUGAAAACCAGAGGCUCAACCUCUGGCCUGCAUUUGAAACUGUUGUUCUUGAGUGUCGGAGAGGUAAUCGGAAUUCCGUGUGUAGCGGUGAAAUGCGUAGAUAUACGGAGGAACACCAGUGGCGAAGGCGGAUUACUGGACGAUAACUGACGCUGAGGCGCGAAAGCGUGGGGAGCAAACAGGAUUAGAUACCCGAGUAGUCC
rnacentral:rRNA from 1 species